UUUUUUCUAACCCGAAAAUUGCAGAUAAUUUUGAGCCAAAUGCUUGUGGUUGGGCCUUUGGUAUGAAUAUGUUUGAUUUGAAGGAGUGGAAAAAACGUGAUAUUACGGGAAUAUAUCAUGGUUGGCAAAAUAUGAACGAGGAAAGAACUCUAUGGAAGCUUGGUACGUUGCCACCUGACUGAUAACGUUUUAUAAUCUGACGCAUCCAUUGGAGCGGAGCUGGCACGUGUUGGGCCUUGGAUAUGAUCCUGCCCUUAACCAACGGAAAUAGAGAAUGCGGCUGUUGUACAUUACAAUGGGAAUUAUAAACCGUGGUUAGAUCUUGCUAUCAGCAAGUACAGGUCAUAUUGGUCAAGGUAUGUGAAGUUUGAUAAUCCGUAUCUACAAACGUGUAAUAUUAAUAGCUUCAUGUUAUCAUAAUGAUAGUGAUAUUCUUGUCUCGCGUAACAUGUAAUACGUUCAUUGUUUGUAUACAAACUCAAGGUAACAGAAUUCUGUUCAGUAAGAACAUUAUUAUACAACAUGAUUUACAGAAUUUGUAUGGUGCUAGUGUCUUUCAGUUUUGU
rnacentral:lncRNA from 1 species